rnacentral:rRNA from 1 species
GGUCACCUCGGGGGGCAGCAGUGAGGAAUAUUGGUCAAUGGGCGGGAGCCUGAACCAGCCAAGCCGCGUGAGGGAAGAAGGUACAGCGUAUCGUAAACCUCUUUUGUCAGGGAACAAAGGCGGGGACUAGUCCCCGGUUGAGGGUACCUGAAGAAAAAGCAUCGGCUAACUCCGUGCCAGCAGCCGCGGUAAUACGGAGGAUGCGAGCGUUAUCCGGAUUUAUUGGGUUUAAAGGGUGCGCAGGCGGCCUGUUAAGUCAGCGGUAAAAGCCCGGGGCUCAACCCCGGCGAGCCGUUGAAACGGGG